CAUCCUGCGGGUGCAGGUGAACUUUCUGGGUGAGAUCAACUUCGAGCGGCGGCAGCUCAAGUUCGAUGCGAGCUUGUUCGACUCCAAGCUGCUGGGCUUCACCUUAUCGGGCGACAUGGCGCUGCGGCUGGACUGGGGCGCUGACGCCAACUUCCUGCUGACGGUAGGCGGUUUUCAUCCU
rnacentral:misc_RNA from 1 species